rnacentral:lncRNA from 12 species
UUUCUUUUUUUAAAUGCAUGGUACAUUUUUUCAAGUCAGUGUUUAUUGUAACGUUUUGCAAGUAAAUUUUUUUCUUUUUAAAUUCUUUUAUCUAGAAUGUUCCUUUGACAAGAAGCAUGGAGAGAAAUUAAAAAGUAGAAGCUAUGAGAAAAAGAGGGGCACCUGCGUGGCUCAUUGGGAGAUUAAACAUACAGGCAAAGAAAGAUAGAAAUAUAAAGGAGUUGGUAAAACUGGAGUCAGAAAGAAAGAAAUCAGCAAGAGAAUCCAUCAGAGAGAGAUUGAAGAGUCGGAAUGAUCCAAAAUUUGAGCUUGAUCAACAUCAAAAUUAAUCCCCAGGUUUCAGGCCUGCGGCGUAGUACAGUGAAGUCUGAUUGGACGUAGAAGAGGAGGAAGGGUGGCCUCAAGGUUGGAGAGGAGUGAUGAUGAAAGAAGGGAAGGCUCAGCUUCCGCACGCUGAGCUUGAGUUACCUGCGGUCAACCCCAGUCCUGGAGCACAAGGGCUCCUGCAGCCACCAACAGCCACCUGCCAGCACCGUCCACCUCACUUCAUCUCACCACCUAGGCCUCCUGUCAUCUCACAGCAUCACAGAAAGGGUCGGAAGUCAGUGGCAGUAAUUUGA